rnacentral:lncRNA from 1 species
GGCAACGAAGGCAAGUUCUUCUUCUCUACUGAAAACUACUGAAAAAGGAUGAAGAACAACGCGGACUCCUAUAAGAUACGGACAGUUCUUCUUCAGAACUCGGCUUGAUUAAUUGCUAAUAACCCUACUUUCGGCGGAAAAAAAGAAAGGGGAAAUAAGAACAAUUGAUCAAGUAGUAGAUGUACUUGAUGGGUGUAUGCAUCAUCUAAAGUGGCUGAGGUGGCUGGUGUGGUGGUGCCUGCAUUCAUCAAGGCCACAGCAUUGUAU